rnacentral:tmRNA from 1 species
CUUCUUCUUUUUUGAACCCUUCCGGUCUAUAUUGCACGGGUCAGGGUUCGCCCUGUCUAUGGAGAUAAACGCGCACGUAAUAAGCGGACUGGACCCGGGUGCGAUUCCCGGCGGCUCCACCAUUUUCCAGCCUGGGUUAUCGCCAGACGGUAUGGGGCCGAUCAGCAUCGACAGACGUCUAAAGGUGUUGCUUUCUCUCGGCCUGACCCACCGUUCCGGGUUUUAAACUAACUGCGAACGAUAACUUCGCUGGAGACAUCCGUCUCGCCGCGUAAGCGGUGCGACUAGUCUCACCUAAGUCCUAGGGGUUCAGAUCCUUAGGCGGGGCCCGGGAGGCGCCUGCCAACAGAAGCCUCCCACU